UAGGGAAUCUUCCGCAAUGGGCGAAAGCCUGACGGAGCAACGCCGCGUGAGUGAUGAAGGUCUUCGGAUCGUAAAACUCUGUUAUUAGGGAAGAACAAAUGUGUAAGUAACUAUGCACGUCUUGACGGUACCUAAUCAGAAAGCCACGGCUAACUACGUGCCAGCAGCCGCGGUAAUACGUAGGUGGCAAGCGUUAUCCGGAAUUAUUGGGCGUAAAGCGCGCGUAGGCGGUUUUUUAAGUCUGAUGUGAAAGCCCACGGCUCAACCGUGGGGGGUCAUUGGAGACUGGAAAACUUGAGUGCAGAAGAGGAAAGUGGAAUUCCAUGUGUAGCGGUGAAAUGCGCAGAGAUAUGGAGGAACACCAGUGGCGAAGGCGACUUUCUGGUCUGUAACUGACGCUGAUGUGCGAAAGCGUGGGGAUCAAACAGG
rnacentral:rRNA from 1 species